UACAGAGGGGGCAAGCGUUGUUCGGAAUUACUGGGCGUAAAGGGCGCGUAGGCGGCCUUCUAAGUCGAACGUGAAAUCCCCGGGCUCAACCCGGGAACUGCGUCCGAGACUGGAAGGCUCGAAUCCGGGAGAGGGAUGUGGAAUUCCAGGUGUAGCGGUGAAAUGCGUAGAUAUCUGGAGGAACACCGGUGGCGAAGGCGGCAUCCUGGACCGGUAUUGACGCUGAGGCGCGAAAGCCAGGGGAGCAAAGCGGGAUU
rnacentral:rRNA from 1 species